GACGAACGCUGGCGGCGUGCCUAACACAUGCAAGUCGAGCGGGGUAGCCGGAAGGUGUAGCGAUACAGCGGAGGGGUACCUAGCGGCGAACGGGUGAGUAACGCGUGGGCAAUCUGCCCCCGGGGGCGGGAUAACAGACCGAAAGGCCUGCUAAUACCGCAUGAAGCCGUCCUAUCGCAUGAUAAGACGGUAAAAGGGGAAACCCGCCUGGGGAGGAGCCCGCGUCCCAUUAGCUAGUUGGUGGUGUAAAGGACCACCAAGGCGAUGAUGGGUAGCCGGCCUGAGAGGGUGAACGGCCACAUUGGGACUGAGACACGGCCCAGACUCCUACGGGGGCAGCAGUGGGGGAUCUUGCACAAUGGGCGAAAGCCUGAUGCAGCGACGCCGCGUGAGCGAAGAAGGCCUUCGGGUUGUAAGCUCUGUCUGGAGGGACGAACAAAAUAGACGGUACCUCCGGAGGAAGCACGGCUAACUACGUGCCAGCAGCCGCGGUAACUAGUCUACG
rnacentral:rRNA from 1 species